UUGUACUUGAUUAGACGUAGAAAGUCUCUGGAGGAAAAUUAAUGUUGUCCUGUUGCUUUGUUGUUUUUUUUAUUUUUAUUGUGAAUGUGUGGAAUAAAUAAACAAACAGAAGAAUGCAAAUCUCAAACAAAUAAUCAAAAGUGGCCGCCUUUCACGGUUACCCUCUCCAAAUUAGAUAAAUGCACAGUGAGAUGUUUUCAAAUUGUAUAAACAUUACUACACAUUAGGCAUAUCAGCAAACACAGUGCUUUGAAGUCUGCAUGUGAGAAGUACACAGUAGAUACAUCCUACAUCCUGAUAUUUACUCUAUGAUAUUUCCCCCCCCAAAUGGGCUGAGCUUUCCUGAGUCAGGCCAUCUCCGUGCAACCAUUUAGAGAGCUGUUUGUAGACAAUGGCCAGUUACAUAGGUGUCGUAUUUCAAUAUUUACACUUCAUGAUGCGUGAGCAGGAAAUCCUUCUGAAGAGAAAAGAAAUGCAAGGUAAAACUUGGAAGUUAACAAGGAUUCAGGCAUUUCCUCAAGUAGAUGGAUGAGAAAAUGAGACCAUGCAAAAAAUAGCACAGUAGGUUUUAUCUAUCAACUGGUCUGCAGCUCCUUGUGAGCACGCUCUGCUGUUAGAUUAAAAACAAAAUAUAUAUAAACAUUUGAACUUUUCAGGAGCUGAAAGGCAGCCUGGUUAAUAGCUUCACCCCGGUGUGUGUUUGAGUUUAAUAUCACUUUUAUUGGCCCAUGGAUGCAAGAAUAUUCCAGUGCAUCAGAAGGUCAGGUAGCUUUUAUGACAACUGCAGUUAGAGAAUUUAGUUUGCUGGUCUUUUUGUUGUAAAAAGCUUAUUAAAUGCAACAGAACAGUUGUUACAGAAUAAUCAAAUAUGUUGUCAUUAUUUGCAGUAGUGCCUCUGUUAUUGGUUUUACAAAUUGCUUAUAUGCUGAUGUCUUUUAUGUGUCAUCAUAUUUGUGCUUAUGUGCUCUGCUUUUAUGUGGUUAAUGCUUUUGUGUAUUAUCUAUGCUCCUGUGUUUUCUGUUGUGCUUAUGUACCUGUCUGUAUUUUGAUAUUUUCUGUAACGCCAUCAACCCGCCAGGGACUGCAGAUGAAAAUUAGUCUGUAUGGUUUAAUCUGGUACAAUUACAUAUUGGACUUUAUUUGAUUAGUUUGCACUGUCCCUUUUUAAAUAGACAAGCAAAACAAACAAACAAACAAACAACAUACUUAAAUGGCAGGCCCACACUGGCACUUUUUAAGUGGAUACACACAAACAGAAGUUCAAAUUUCAACAAAUACAGUAUAUCUCAAUAUGGGUGCUAGUUUUGAUGCAUGCUGAAGUUUUAAAAAUAGGAACAGAAAAUUCAGAUAAUCAGCAGGAGAGAACCCGCCCCCCGCCAGACCCGACCCUUUGCCUUUGCAGGUCACUGUAUGUCGCUCAGUCUGACUUAGGAAUGUGGGAGAAAGCUGUUAAAACGCUUUGUUGGGAGUCUCUGGGUCACAUGAGGACACUUCAUUGUCAAUCCAAUGCUGGAAAUUCCUCAGAGACAUGGCGCUGUACGGACGUAACAUGGUCAUGACGUCAUUAUCCAUUCAUAUAUCCACAUUGCUGCCUCAGAGCUGACAGCAAGAGGAACCUAUAAGCAAGAGGAAGAGGCUCAGGAUGACUGUGAUCACUACACAAGCUCCAAAAUCUUACUGGAAGCUGUAGUAGCUGGCAUCUAAAUACCAGUACACUUUUAAAAAUAUACCGUUUGUCUUUAAUUUAGUAAGAGCUUACAAAAAUAGGUGCUUACGCUUCAACUACUCCAUCAGCAACAGUAAUCCUGAGCACACAAAGACCCGAAGCUGCCUGUGAUGGUUUCAGAUCACAAAUGUGCUUUCAAAUGUCACUGUUUUAUAGCUGCAUUCAAGCUGGCUGUGUCGCUGGCAAGCACACUGAAACAGCGCAUUAGACAGUUCACUGACUGCAUUGAAACUGUUUACUAAGUUAGUUUGUUACUAUAAAUAGGGGACAUCAGUGUUGAAAAAGGGGAAACAGAAGUCUCUCUGUCCCAGCAGUGUUUUCUCUAGUGUUUGAGCAGCAGGGGAGUCUGGGGAUCUGAACUCAGGCUAAUUAGCUAAUUCAUCAGCCCUGAAGGGAAUGACAUGUGAUUAAAUCCAUCAACAACCACUUUCCACGCAAGAUAAGUUAUCAAGAAUAAAUUUAGGAAACUACCUAUGUGAAAAGUACAUAUCAGUUUUUGUAAACUGACAAAGUGAAAAACCAAAAGAUAGUUGAUUAGUACAUUAAGCUAAUAUAACUAGCUAUAAGUAGGCCAACAUUUACCUGAGUACUGUACCUAACUACAAAUUUGAGGUACUUAUAUUUUACUUACUAGUAUUUCCAUUCCAUUGUACUUUAUACCAGGCAAAUAUUGUACUUUUUAUGCCACUAACCACUUUUUUUUUUCUUUUACAAUUAGCAGAUUUUACAUUGAAAACACAAUCAUCUUAUACAAUAGCAUGCUCUGAAAUGGAUUGAAGUAGGCUACAUAAAAGUAAAUAAAGCAGUUAACAUUAGCUCCAUUUCUACCACCUAUGUAGCCUAUAACAAUAUCACAGUACUUUACUAAGUCUAAGUACAUUUGGCUGAUAAUACUUUUACCUGGAAUAUUUUGAAUGCAGCACUUUUAUCUGUGGAGUCCAUUGUGGUUUUGCUAAUUAAACUCACAUAAAGGACUUAAAUAGGAUCUUCCACCACUGCAUUUAAGUUGUAUUUAAGUAGCAUAUCCCAGCAAUUAAAGAUAUUUUAUUAACAGUGAUUAAGCCUACACAGGUUGGUUGCAUUGGCUCUGGUUCAGGGUGCCAUGAACUAAACUGCAAAUUGUCUAACAAGGAGAGCCCCCUAGUGCUGAAAUAGGCCCACACGCGCAGGAGGGUCCACACAGAGCAACUGGGACUCAUUUUAAUGACUUUUAGAAAUGUGCUCCUCGGUUGUGCACUCAUAGUGUAAAAUGAGAGAAACAGUUAGGCUAGACUACUAACGUUAACUGGGUACAAAGAGAGGUUGCAGACCAAGUAUCUGAAAGCCCCAACAAGCAAGACUUCCUCAGUCGGCAGUUUUGUAAACGUGAGCCUCGAUGACUUCAGUGAUUGCUCGUCAUUCUUAUCAGGGGUCCAGGGAGGUGUCUCACCGGUUAUUUUCCAUGGCACUCCAAACCACGACUCCAGACAAAAGCCUAGAAAGUGCAUCUCUAAGGAGCACGCUUGCUUCUCAAAGCAGAUGACCCAAAAGCAGAUUCGCAGAGAAUAUGUGGCUGCUGUGGAGGAAAGACUCAAACAGCAUCCUCUCGCUAUGUUCCCACACUAUAAAGCUCACAUGAAACCAGAGUUAUUUGAUAAGGUGGUAUCCGUGUUGGACCCCGAAAUGUGCGGAUACAGUGCCUCUGCACUCCCUACUCCUACAGGAAACCAUGCGGAGGAGGUAGAUGAGAAAAACUGUACAGAGCCAAGUAAGAAAGAAGUGGAAAGAGCAAAACAUGGAACGUCUGCCAAUAAAAUGCAAGUACACUUGCAAUUUGAUGAUUAAUAGUAUUAAUAUAAUCUAAAUUUGAUCCAUUGUUCACUUAACCUGAUUGUGGAAAAUAAACAAGCAAUUCCUUUGUUGAAAUAAAAGCUGAAAUUC